AGCCGGCAGGAGCCGCCCCGCCCGGGAUCGGGCUGCGCCCUCCGCCACCGCCCCUGAAGAGGGAGGGGAAGGCAGCGCUGCCAGGCGGGGCUGGCAGCAAGAUGGCGCCGGCAGUGCGGGGACUGAAGAGCUUCGUGUGGCAGAAGCUGAAAUCAGCAGUAUUUGAUGACUUCACCAAAGAGGAAGAAUGGAAGGUAAUGCUUUUAGACGAUUACACUACUAAAUUACUGUCACUGUGCUGCAAAAUGACUGACCUACUGGCAGAGGGUGUCACAGUGGUGGAGAAUGUAUAUAAAACCCGUGAGCCUGUCCCACACAUGAAGGCAAUAUAUUUAAUAACUCCCACAAAAAAGUCUGUAGAUGGACUGAUUGAUGACUUCAUCAGUAAAUCAUCCAGCAGAUACAAAGCAGCAUACGUGUAUUUCACUGAUGUUUGUCCUGACAGCCUCUUCAAUAAAAUUAAGGCUUCAUGUGCAAAAUCUAUAAAGAAAUGCAAGGAGAUCAACAUUUCGUUCUUCCCUUAUGAGUCUCAGGUAUUUACUCUCAACAUCCCAGAUGCAUUCUACCGCUGUUACAGUCCCACUCUGGAAAAGACAAAGGACAAAGAUGCUGUGCUGCAAGUCAUGGCUGAACAAAUUGUUACCUUAUGUGCCACACUAGAUGAGAAUCCAGGAGUGCGGUAUAAAAGUGGACCAUCUGAUAGAGCCAGCAAACUUGCACACCUUGUUGAAAAAAGUCUUGAAAACUACUACAAAACAGAUGAGAGAAGCCAAAUAAAGGCUAAAACCCACUCCCAACUAAUAAUAAUAGAUCGUGGUUUUGACCCAGUAUCAACUGUACUCCAUGAGCUCACCUUCCAGGCAAUGGCAUAUGAUCUGCUACCCAUUGAAAAUGAUACUUACAAAUACAAAACAGAAGGCUCUGGUGGGAAGGAAAAGGAAGCAAUUUUGGAGGAAGAUGAUGACCUGUGGGUGAAGAUGCGGCACAAGCAUAUCGCAGAUGUGAUAGAGGAAAUACCAAAACUUUUGAAAGAUGCUUCAUCAAAAACAAAAGCAGCAGAAGGAAAAUUAUCCAUAUCUGCUCUGUCCCAGUUGAUGAAGAAGAUGCCACUCUAUCGUAAAGAGAUUAGUAAGCAAGUUCUUCAUCUUAACAUAGCAGAAGAUUGCAUGAGCAAGUUCAAAUCUAAUAUAGAAAGGCUCUGUAAAGCUGAACAGGACUUGGCUCUUGGAACUGAUGCAGAAGGUGAAAAAGUAAAAGACUCUAUGAGGGUCCUCCUUCCAGUUCUACUCAACAAAAGUCAUGACAGCUAUGACAAAAUCAGAGCUAUUCUCCUGUAUAUCUUUAGCACAAAUGGAACUACCCAGGAGAACUUGGACAAGCUGAUCCAGAAUGUACACAUAGAAAGUGAUAGUGAUAUGAUAAGAAAUUGGAAAUACCUUGAUGUUCCUGUUAUCUCUUCAUUUGUUGCUCAGCAGCAUAAAUACAUAAGAAGGGACCGUUCUAAAGAAGAAACCUUUCAACUUUCUAGGUGGACUCCUGUUAUCAAAGAUGUUAUGGAGGAUGCUAUAGAAAACAAAUUAGAUUCAAAAGACUGGCCUUAUUGUUCGCGCUGUCCUCCCACCUGGAAUGGUUCAGGAGCAGUAAGUGCCCGCCAGAAGCCUAGAGCGAGUUACAGAGAGGAGCGCAGGAGCGGUGCAAGGCUGAUUGUGUUUGUGAUUGGGGGAGUCAUGUACUCGGAGAUGCGCAGCGCUUACGAGGUUUCUGAGGCCUACAAGUCCUGUGAAGUUGUUAUUGGUUCUACUCAUAUUUUGACACCUAGAAAACUACUAGAGGAAGUGAAGAGCCUUAGUAAACCCAAGGAUAUAGUCUGCAUUAAGGAUGAAUAGAUAUGGUGAUGUUUAUGAUGCAUUAAAAACACAAGUAGUGUGUACAUAUGCUAAUGGAACUGACUUUUCCAAAUCCUGCACUUCAAUACUACGUGUUUCCUAAUGGGAGGUCAUGUUAUAAUUUAAAUUUGCUGCUUUUGGGGGAGUAGAAGGCAGAGAGAUGACGAGAUAAUCAGGUAUGUUUCUUAGGUUCUAUUUAGUAUUACACUGCAAGUGCUUUUCAAAAGGGCAUGUUUGUUCCUAACUAAUUAUGCUAAAAAUAAUUGUAAUUAUAUAUAAACUGGAAUUGUCUUUGAGAACUGUGAAAACUUUCUAUAAUGGCAUUUAUUUCUAAAAAUUACUGAAUUAAAAAGGGCCUAGGCUCUUGGGUAGGCACUUCAAGAGAAAACUUGUAAAUAUGGGUUUAUGGUAAAAACGUUUACUACAAGUUCAAUGUCAUUCAGUGUAAGAUUUUCUGUAAAAAUAACUUGCUGAAAAUUUUUAAAAUAUGUGUAAUUGUGAAAAAUCUAAAGGCUUUUUAGAUGGGGCUGGGUAAGGUAGAUAGUUAACCACAGAAUUAUUGAGCAGUUCCAAUCACAGUAAACCACUUUGGAGAAAUGCUGUCAACUGUGCACUGAAGUACACUUUAUAUUUAAAUAUAUACAGAGAUUAUUACUGAAGCUUUUCUCAAAAUUAUUUUCUUAGCAAAUUCCUUAUGAUUGUCUACAUAGUCUGUCUGUUUCAGAAGUUGAAUUGCCUGUGAUACAGAAAUUCCAAAACUAAGCAUGUCUCUUUGAGUAAGUGGAGGCACGGGGAAAAGACAGGACAAAAAGGGAAGCAGCUCAGUCUUUCAAAGGGCUUUGUAACUGGGAAAAGAAAAGCACAAAGCAAAGAAAAUGACAAAAACUGAUGCACUCAAAAUAAUUUACUUUUUAAAAAUUUUGUUACAUACUAAGAAAGAAAUACUUUAAUUUGUAUUGAAGGGAAUAAAAAAAAUAAAAUUGUAUGAAUUCUCUAAUACUGGUAAUGUUUAGAUUUCUCUUUAAAAAUUACUUAAUUAAAAUUACUGAACUUUUAACGCGAUGUUGUAUUUAUGUGCCUUGAAAUGUUAGUUUGUUGUAUGUAGAAUCCAAGAGAAAUGUUAUCAUGAAAAAGAUUACUUGUGUCCUUUUGUUUACGUUUUCCCAAUGACAGGUAUUUUUUUUUCAUGAUUUUAGUUUUUUUUUCCCUUUACUUUUGCUUUCAGGUUAACCAAUAUUUUAAGAGAAUAUUUUUGUUAGAUGAGUUCAUUCAGAGUUAAUUAGAAGGUGGAAAAAGGUCAAGUUCUCCCCCUACAUCAGAGAGGAAUGAAAGGGGAGGACGUGACAGAAUGAUUCUAAAAUUCUGCAGGACAUGGGAUGUGAUGAGAGCAAAGCAAAGCCAAAUGUUAUGGUGAAAGUGGAAUAAUAAAGAUGCUUUAUGAUAGGAAAUCUGGCACCAAUAUGUAGCUCAAAACAGCUUAUGAACAGGGUAAGUGGAAGUUUUAUUCAAGAUAUUUGGGGUUUUUUCCCUAAGGAUCUUCUCUGCUACAUUUUUUCUAGAUCAAGGAUCAUAUCAUGGAUGGGAAAGAGUUCUAUCAGGAUAAAUAAAAACUUAGUAUUUCAGAGUACAUGUACAAGGUAUAUUAUAACUUUGAAAGUUCGUAUUUUCAUGUGAUGCAUAUUAAAAUACUUACCGAAUGCUACAUGUGGGCCCAGCAAUUGGUUUUUAAAGUUGAAUCUGGAAAUCUGGACAAGAUUCAGAAAUUACUAAGGAAAAUCAAAGGUAUGGAACAAUCUUCAUUCCAGGAAUGGCUAGACCAGCAUCCUUGAUCAAGGGUGAAAAAAGAUGAUGGUGGAGUGUGUGGUGGAAGUCUCAAAAACCCUGUUAGUGUUGAGACUGCAGGGUUGUCUUCCUAUUCAGUGUGUGAAGUGACAGGUGAGAUCUGCAGCUGUCAAAUCAGAACAAAAGGACCUUUAGCAUCUGAGAUGCCAUGCAGUAAUGACAUGCUCUAAAUUGUUAUAUGGGAAAAAAAAUCCUCAAUGUAAGACAUAUAUUUAUAGGGCUGAUAAGUAUAAAUGUUACUGCUGAUGUGAAAGGAUUCUGGGCUUUCAGUUUGCUAGAGGAUGUUCUGAGGAAUUUCACUUCAUGAUUGUCUUAUUCAAUCUGAUCUUUUUUAGGCAGUUGCUGUCAGACACAGGACAGCAGGUGCAGGGAUCCAGGAUAAACAAAAGGUUCAGAACAAGCUGUUCUUGUGAUGUGGAGAGAU